rnacentral:snRNA from 1 species
GGAUGUGAGGGUGAUCUGGCUGCGACAUCUGUCACCCCAUUGAUUGCUAGGGUUGAUUCAGCUGAUACGGCUGGCUACGAGGGUGUCCCCUUCCUCCCUCACUGCUUCAUGUGCGUCCCUCCUGACGCUGGGCACCAGGUAGAAGAUGACCUUCCCUGCUAGAGGAAGGCUGGUCUUCGGUCAAGGGUAUACAAGCUGCUGCACUCCCCUGCUAGAACCUCCAAACAAGCUCUCAAGUAUGUUUCAAACUUCCAUUUGGUUUUCUUCUGUAGAUUUUUAGUUAUACACUAUUUUAUUAUUCUUUAGUGGUUGCCCUGGGUGGACCUGAGACCACAGUAA